CUGCGAAUGGCUCAUUAAAUCAGUUAUCGUUUAUUUGAUAGACCUUACUACUUGGAUAACCGUGGUAAUUCUAGAGCUAAUACAUGCUGAAAAUCCCGACUUCGGAAGGGAUGUAUUUAUUAGAUUAAAAACCAAUGCCCUCCGGGGCUCACUGGUGAUUCAUGAUAACUUCUCGAAUCGCAUGGCCUUGCGCCGGCGAUGGUUCAUUCAAAUUUCUGCCCUAUCAACUUUCGACUGGUGGGUCUUGGCCAGCCAUGGUGACAACGGGUAACGGAGGGUUAGGGCUCGACCCCGGAGAAGGAGCCUGAGAAACGGCUACUACAUCCAAGGAAGGCAGCAGGCGCGCAAAUUACCCAAUCCCGACACGGGGAGGUAGUGACAAUAAAUACUGAUACAGGGCUCUUUUGGGUCUUGUAAUUGGAAUGAGUACAAUUUAAAUCCCUUAACGAGGAACAAUUGGAGGGCAAGUCUGGUGCCAGCAGCCGCGGUAAUUCCAGCUCCAAUAGCGUAUAUUAAAGUUGUUGCAGUUAAAAAGCUCGUAGUUGAACCUUGGGCCUGGCGGCCGGUCCGCCUCACCGCGUGCACUGGUUCGGCCGGGCCUUUCCUCUGGGGAGCCCCAUGCCCUUCACUGGGCGUGUGGGGGAACCAGGACUUUUACUUUGAAAAAAUUAGAGUGUUCAAAGCAGGCCUAUGCUCGAAUACAUUAGCAUGGAAUAAUAGAAUAGGACGUGCGGUUCUAUUUUGUUGGUUUCUAGGACCGCCGUAAUGAUUAAUAGGGACAGUCGGGGGCAUCAGUAUUCAAUUGUCAGAGGGAAAUUCUUGGAUUUAUUGAAGACUAACUACUGCGAAAGCAUUUGCCAAGGAUGUUUUCAUUAAUCAGGAACGAAAGUUAGGGGAUCGAAGACGAUCAGAUACCGUCGUAGUCUUAACCUAAACUAUGCCGACUAGGGAUC
rnacentral:rRNA from 1 species